UACGGAGGGUGCUAGCGUUGUUCGGAAUCACUGGGCGUAAGGCGCGUGUAGGCGGCCCACUAAGUCUGAUGUGAAAGCCCGGGGCUCACCCCCGGAAGUGCAUUGGAAACUGGUGGACUCGAGUCCCGGAGAGGAGAGUGGAAUUCCUGGUGUAGCGGUGAAAUGCGCAGAUAUCAGGAAGAACACCUAUGGCGAAGGCAGCUCUCUGGGACGGUACUGACGCUGAGACGCGAAAGCGUGGGGAGCGAACAGG
rnacentral:rRNA from 1 species